rnacentral:rRNA from 1 species
AAACUUUCGCCAACGGGAUCUCUUGGUUCCGGCAUCGAUGAAGANCGCAGNGAAAUGCGAUUACUAAUGUGAAUUGCAGAAUUCACUGAAUCCUCCAGUCUUUGAUCGCUCAUUGCGCCCCCUGGUUUUCCGGGGGGCAUGCCUGUCCGAACGUCAUU